AGUUUGAUCAGUGGCUCGAGGACGAACGCUGGCGGUGUGCUUCACACAUGCAAGUCGAACGAGGUAGCAAUACCUAGUGGCGGACGGGUGAGUAACGCGUGGGAAUCUGCCUUUAGAUGGGGGAUAACGGGUCGAAAGACUCGCUAAUACCGCAUAUGACGAAAGUUGAAAGGAGUAAUCCGUCUAAAGAUGAGCCCGCGUCCGAUUAGCUAGUUGGUAGAGUAAAAGCCUACCAAGGCGACGAUCGGUAGCUGGUCUGAGAGGAUGAUCAGCCACAAUGGGACUGAGACACGGCCCAUACUCCUACGGGAGGCAGCAGUGGGGAAUUUUACGCAAUGGGCGAAAGCCUGACGUAGCGACACCGCGUGAGCGAAGAAGCCCCUUGGGGUGUAAAGCUCUGUCAGCUGGAACGAAAAAAAUGACGGUACCAGCAGAGGAAGCAUCGGCUAACUACGUG
rnacentral:rRNA from 1 species